GAAAUGCGAUAAGUAAUGUGAAUUGCAGAAUACUGUGAGUCAUCAAAUGCUUGAAUGUAAAUGGCGCCUGUCGAUAAGACAGGCACACCUGUUUGAGUGUCGUUUUUUCUAAAAAUCAAAAAGAGCGGCAAAGCUUUUUUUUGGAGAUGAGUGUUCCAGUUGAUUGGAGGGAUCACUUGAAAUGGAGGGAGAAGUGUAAAAGGUUGUCCAAAAAACAAAAAUUGAUGGUAUAGAGUGUUUAUUAGGCACGCCGAGAAGCCAAUCUUUUUGAUGUUUGGUCCCUUGAAAAAACCAGGAGUAGAAUACCCAAAAUCGACCUCAAAUCAGGUGAGAUUACCCACUGAACUUAA
rnacentral:misc_RNA from 1 species